AAAGAUUAAGCCAUGCAUGUCUAAGUAUAAGCAACUAUACAGUGAAACUGCGAAUGGCUCAUUAAAUCAGUUAUCGUUUAUUUGAUAGUACCUUACUACUUGGAUAACCGUGGUAAUUCUAGAGCUAAUACAUGCUAAAAAUCCCGACCUCUGGAAGGGAUGUAUUUAUUAGAUAAAAAACCAAUGCCUUCGGGCUCCUUGGUGAUUCAUGAUAACUUAACGAAUCGCAUGGCCUUGCGCCGGCGAUGGUUCAUUCAAAUUUCUGCCCUAUCAACUUUCGAUGGUAGGAUAGUGGCCUACCAUGGUUUCAACGGGUAACGGGGAAUUAGGGUUCGAUUCCGGAGAGGGAGCCUGAGAAACGGCUACCACAUCCAAGGAAGGCAGCAGGCGCGCAAAUUACCCAAUCCCGAUUCGGGGAGGUAGUGACAAUAAAUACUGAUACAGGGCUCUUUUGGGUCUUGUAAUUGGAAUGAGUACAAUUUAAAUCCCUUAACGAGGAACAAUUGGAGG
rnacentral:rRNA from 1 species